rnacentral:rRNA from 1 species
UAAUUGAAGAGUUUGAUCAUGGCUCAGAUUGAACGCUGGCGGCAGGCCUAACACAUGCAAGUCGAGCGGUAACAGGAGAAAGC